rnacentral:rRNA from 1 species
UACGUAGGGUCCGAGCGUUGUUCGGAAUUAUUGGGCGUAAAGAGCUCGUAGGCGGCUUGUUGCGUCUGCUGUGAAAUCCCGAGGCUCAACCUCGGGUCUGCAGUGGGUACGGGCAGACUGGAGUGCGGUAGGGGAGAAUGGAAUUCCUGGUGUAGCGGUGGAAUGCGCAGAUAUCAGGAGGAACACCGAUGGCGAAGGCGGUUCUCUGGGCCGUAACUGACGCUGAGGAGCGAAAGCGUGGGGAGCAAACAGG